rnacentral:misc_RNA from 1 species
GAAAUGCGAUACGUAGUGUGAAUUGCAGAAUUCCGUGAAUCAUCGAAUCUUUGAACGCAUAUUGCGCUCGAGGCUUCGGCCAAGAGCAUGUCUGCCUCAGCGUCGGUUUAUCCCCUCACCCCCACUUCCUUUGGAAGCCUGCCUAUGCCUUGUGCAUUGGCUUUGGGGUGGAUCUGGCCCUCCCAAUUCGCUGUAUUGCCGAUUGGGUUGGCUGAAGCAAAGAGGCUUGAGUAUGGACCCUUAUGGGCAUCAACUGGAUAGGUAGAACCGGCUUCGGCUGACUACACGAAGUUGUUGCUUGUGGACCAUACUGGCGGCCCGCAGGAAACACGCCUUGUGCGUGUGAACCAAACAUUCGACCUGAGCUCAGGCAAGAUUACCUGCUGAACUUAA